UUUCCCAUAUGGAAAGGAAAGAAGAGAGAAUUCAGAGUAGUAGUAAUGGAAUUCGAAUAUAUCAACGAUUAGUUAGCCACAAUGAUAUGUCUUCCAUCGCAGACCUAAACAAGUUCGAGGCCGAUACAAGAGGAGAAUUCGGUAUUGGAUCUGCCGCACAAUACAGUUCUACGGAUCUCAAGUGAUAAUACAUUUCUUGUGCCGAUUUUAUUUGCAUCUUAUCUCUUGUUGCAGAAAAGCAUUCCAUGUAAAUGAAAAUUUCAAGUGAGGUCCUCAUUCGCCUGUUUGUUAGAAUCUGAAUGUAUAUGAUACAGAAGAGCCAAUUUCACAUCUGCGGACAGGAGAGAAUCUGAUUUCAGGAAAGAUUCAAUGAAAUUUCCAAAAUCUCCUCCUCUGUAUCAUUGGUAUCAUCUAUGCAAUUGAUUUGUCCUUCAUAUGCUUCUAGCCAGCGAGGAUUCAUGAUUUCUUCUAUUUCAACUUAGUUUUUCAAGUUGUAUGUGAAUCCAUUCUCUAGGGAACAAUCUGUGACAUCAAUGCAAAAACUUCUCUCGUCAAAGAAUCUAAAAAUGACUCGAUGAGAUGGCCAGUGAGAUAAGCAGCCUACAAACUAUUGCAUCUAAGUUGAAGGGAGAAUCCUUACAGGCAGUGAACAUAUUAUGCACUUGAAAGAAGAGGUUCGAUUUCUUUGGGCUACUAUGAGAAGAAGCAACUUUAAUGUUAACAUUCUGGAGUCUAAAGCAAAAGAUAACAAGGAAAAUCUAAACAUUGUUGUUUCCCAAGUUCAGAAGAUGGAACAGUGGAUUCAAAUUCAGUAACUUGAACAAACUCUUGCUAUUGUGAAAGUUCAAUUCAGAUCAGGACACUACAUGUUUAGAGAGGAGAAGGCAACUUAUUCUCAAGAUUCACAAAAUUAAAAAACCAGAACCAUUGUUUAAAGAAUUGGUUGUUUCGAGUUUUGUUCUUUCGUCGUUGAUGUGUUUGAAGAUCGAAGCUUUGUUGAGACGUUUUGAUAUAUUCGUUGCUUAAAAAAUUAAUUUAUUUAUUGAUUGUGUUAGUAUAAUUAACCGUAAUUUCAGGAAUAUC